AUUGACCUCGGAUCAGGUAGGGAUACCCGCUGAACUUAAGCAUAUCAAUAAGCGGAGGAAAAGAAACCAACAGGGAUUGCCUCAGUAACGGCGAGUGAAGCGGCAACAGCUCAAAUUUGAAAUCUGGCCCCGUCGGGGUCCGAGUUGUAAUUUGUAAAGAGUGUUUCGGGUGAGACCACGGUCUAAGUUCAUUGGAACAUGGCGUCAUAGAGGGUGAGAAUCCCGUAUGUGACUGUGGCUCGAGCCCAUGUGAAGCCUCUUCGACGAGUCGAGUUGUUUGGGAAUGCAGCUCAAAAUGGGUGGUAAAUUUCAUCUAAAGCUAAAUACUGGCUGGAGACCGAUAGCGCACAAGUAGAGUGAUCGAAAGAUGAAAAGCACUUUGGAAAGAGAGUCAAACAGUACGUGAAAUUGUUGAAAGGGAAGCGCUUGCAACCAGACCUGUCCGUAGGUGAUCAGCCGCUGUUCUCAGCGGUGCACUCGCUCUGCGAUCAGGCCAGCAUCGGUUUCGGCGGUUGGAUAAAGGCCUUGGGAAUGUAGCUCCCUUCGGGGAGUCUUAUAGCCCUCGGUGCAAUGCGGCCAGCCGGGACCGAGGACCGCGCUUCGGCUAAGAUGCUGGCGUAAUGGUUGUAAGCGAACCGUCUUGAAACACGGACCAAGGAGUCUAACAUCUAUGCGAGUGUUUGGGUGUUAAACCCAUGCGCGGAAUGAAAGUGAACGGAGGUGAGAACCCUUUAGGGCGCAUCAUCGACCGAUCCAGAUGUCUUCGGAUGGAUUUGAGUAUGAGCAUAGCUGUUGGGACCCGAAAGAUGGUGAACUAUGCCUGAAUAGGGUGAAGCCAGAGGAAACUCUGGUGGAGGCUCGCAGCGGUUCUGACGUGCAAAUCGAUCGUCAAAUUUGGGUAUA
rnacentral:rRNA from 1 species